UGCGUAGGCUGCGCUGUAAGUCAGAUGUGAAAUCCCGGGGCUCAACCCCGGAACUGCAUCCGAUACUGCGGUGCUUGAGGACUGGAGAGGAGAUUGGAAUUCAUGGUGGAGCAGUGAAAUGCGUAGAUAUCAUGAGGAACGCUAGUGGCGUAGGCGAAUCUCUGGACAGUUCUGACGCUGAGGCACGAAGGCCAGGGGAGCAAACG
rnacentral:rRNA from 1 species